GGGCUCGCACAAGCGGUGGAACAUGAGGUUUAAUUCGACGAUAAGCGAAAAACCUUACCAGGGUUCACCCUAUUAGAACCCCGCGGAAACGUGGGGGUGCCUUCGGGAGCUAAUAGGUCGGUGAUGCACGGUUGUCGUCAGCUCGUGCCGUGAGGUGUCCCGUUAAGUCGGUCAACGAGCGCAACCCUUGCUCUGUGUUACUCCGGCAUCACGUCGGAGGUCUCACUGAGGACUGCCUCGCCUAUUGAGCGGGGAGGAAGGUGGGGAUGACGUCAAAUCAGCGUGUCCCUUAUGCCCUGGGCAACACUCGUGUUACAAUGGUCAGCAACAACGGGUUGCAAGUCCGCGAGGACAAGCUAAUCCCUGAAAUCUGGCCUCAGUUCGGAUUGCAGGCUGAAACUCGCCUGCAUGAAGCCGGAAUCGCUAGUAACCGUGGAUCAGAACGCCACGGUGAAUACGUUCUCGAGCCUU
rnacentral:rRNA from 1 species